rnacentral:rRNA from 1 species
UACGUAGGGCGCAAGCGUUGUCCGGAAUUAUUGGGCGUAAAGAGCUCGUAGGCGGCCUGUUGCGUCCGCUGUGAAAGCCCGGGGCUUAACCCCGGGUCUGCAGUGGAUACGGGCAGGCUAGAGGUAGGCAGGGGAGAAUGGAAUUCCCGGUGUAGCGGUGAAAUGCGCAGAUAUCGGGAGGAACACCGGUGGCGAAGGCGGUUCUCUGGGCCUUACCUGACGCUGAGGAGCGAAAGCGUGGGGAGCAAACAGG